UAGUCCACGCCCUAAACGAUGUUUACUCGAUGUUUGAUUGUAAGAUUGGGCAGCCAAGCGAAAGUGAUAAGUAUCCCACCUGGGGAGUACGUUCGCAAGAAUGAAACUCAAAGGAAUUGACGGGGGCCCGCACAAGCGGUGGAGCAUGUGGUUUAAUUCGAUGAUACGCGAGGAACCUUACCAGGGCUUAAAUGUAGUCUGACAGCUGUAGAGAUACGGUUUUCUUCGGACAGAUUACAAGGUGCCGCAUGGUUGUCGUCAGCUCGUGCCGUGAGGUGUCAGGUUAAGUCCUAUAACGAGCGCAACCCCUGUUGUUAGUUGCCAGCGAGUAAUGUCGGGAACUCUAACAAGACUGCCGGUGCAAACCGCGAGGAAGGUGGGGAUGACGUCAAAUCAUCACGGCCCUUACGUCCUGGGCCACACACGUGCUACAAUGGUGGGGACAGAGAGCAGCCACUGCGCAAGCAGGAGCGAAUCUAUAAACCCUAUCUCAGUUCGGAUCGG
rnacentral:rRNA from 1 species